UUGACACCUUAAGUUUACAUAAAUAAAACCGGCAAGACUUUAUCAUUUCGUUUUUAUUUACUUCCCAAAAACAUCUCUUACACACCGUUACCAACAGAGGAACUUGAACUCCUUCAAGCUGGCAUGGGAAGGCAAACUGUGUGUCUCCCAGAGGACUCUAAUCACACAGAGGUACAGUUGUCAGUUUAUUUUUGAUUGCCGCUAAGUUGUCUUUUUAAUUGUUUCUUUUAAUAUUCUCAAUUCAAUUUCUAUUAUUACUUUAUUAUAAAUAAAGAUCUCAAAGUUACUGGUUGAAGCAUUCCCAAAAAUGGCAGAUCUUUGUGGAGAAUGGCUUUUGCAUAAAUCAGCAGGUUUGUGAAAUAACUGUUGUUUUUCAUUAGUUUGUUUCAUCUAUGAUAUUUGUGAAGUUAUUUUACCUCUACAAAAAUAUGAGUUUUUUUUUUAUGAUAUGUCAAGUACAGGUCAUUUAUUUGUAAGAUUCUGUAAUCAUGUUUCCGUUUACUCUCCCAAUAAAGGGGGCAAUGAUCUAUGAAAGCUCAUUUUAAUUCCACCUGAAGCAGAAGGAUAUACUACCAAAGCCCUCAAAGCUCAAUCAGGUGGUGGAAAAACCACUUUAUACAUCGUUCCUCUUCAAGAAACUUUAGACACUUCUCCUUUGCCUCUUGACUCACAACAUUUUUCAAAGAUGCCAAAGACAACUUGUUACCAGUGCAACGAAGUGAUGCCUCUUCAGAUGCUUGCAGUGCACAUUAAAACAUGCAUUGGCAAAUCUGCUUCUGAUGAGGAUAAGGAUUCUGACUUGUGCAUUGAAGAGAACGAAUGUAAGGUGGUGUGUCCAAUUUGCUCCAAGAACUUUUCUGAGCAAGAUAUUGCAGUGCAUGCUGGUCUGUGUGGAGAGAGCUUUGAGGGAGAAACACCUGCAGCAGGGGACCAAGACUCUUCUUUAGAGACUACAGUACAUACACCACAAAGGUUAGUUUUUAAUUAGGAAGAUUAUGGCCAAAUUCAAAUUUUUUCCCUACGGCUUCUCCCUACCCCUCCAAUUGUAAUUUUGAGAUUUUGUGGUUGUCUGAACUUGUUUUUUUAAGGGGAAGGGGUAGGGACUUAGAGCAUUCAAUCACUCUACCGUUAGGGUGAUCUGUGUCUCACUGUGACGUGAUGUGAUGUGUGGAUGUGCUCUGAAGCACAGAAUUUUACAUUUCAGUAGCCGCGGUAACAUGUGCAAAAUGUAUUUGAUCGGAUCAAAGAUCAGAUUAAAAUUCAACCGCUACAUGGGCAUACAUCUGAAUGACUCUGAUCGGGGCAGAGUAUUCCGAAUGGCGUGUUCACAUGACAUUUUUAUUCUGAUCAGGUGUUCUUUCAAUUACUUUUGUCCAUGUAAACACACUUACUGUAAGCAAUGAUCUUUUUGACCCAACUCCCAAUGUUAAAGUGCCUAGGAUAGCACAAGAGUUACAGUAGAAAUUCAAGUUAGUUUUACUAAUUCACUUAAAUCCCUUGGUAUUGUGUAUAUCCUACCAAACUACUGAUGUCUUUCUUCCAUUUUCAAAACAAUAAAAUGGUUUUAUUGUUAAAGAUUUUUAUGAUUAUAUUUGGAUGUGGUUUUGUCUCAAAGAACAGAUGAUGUGUUGCAUCACCUUGAGCAACAGGUCAACAUGAAUAUGGAAUUCAAACUGUGUGUGGACAGAGAGGGGCUUCCAAACAGAGGCAUUCUGCAAUGGCAAAGAAAAAAAUCUUCAUCUCCUGCUGGUACACUGAAGGUUGUGUACAUUGGGGAGGCAGGAGUGGAUACAGGAGCCAUGAAAAGAGAAUUUUUGACAGAUAUGAUUGCAGGUAUUGAGAACAGGUUCUUUGAAGGAGUUGAAGGCCAGGGUAAAAAUCCCAAGUACUCACUGACAUUUGUGGACAAUGAAUAUUUCAGGACUGUUGGUGAAAUAAAUGCAGUCAGCCUAGCCCAAGGUGGGCCAGCUCCAGCGUUUCUGAAAGAGUGGUGCUAUGGAUUCAUUUGUACUGGAGACAUAGAUCUCUGCUCUUUAUCAAAGGAAGAUGUAAUAGACCAAGAAUCGUCUCUCCUCAUGACCAAAGUAAGAAUCUAGUAGCAUGUCAGAACUUUUACAAUAUUCCCCCUAAGUUUUGAUUAAGAAUUGAACAUUUUCUAUAGUCUCAAAAAUAUUUCUUUAUCAAGAUUUUUAAUAUUUCGUAAAAAAAGUUAAGAAGGGAGUUUGCUAACAGAUCAUUUUAGUCUGACUCACAUGAUCAAAGAUCCAACUAGGAUAAAAACCUGUUCACAAACUGUCAUGGUUAGGCCUGCCUUUUGUUCUUUUCCUGCUGUGAUCUCUCCUGUGAGAAUCACAGGUGUUUUUCAUUAGUUGAUUAUGAUUCUGUUCUAUUUAAGGCUCAAGUUUCUGUGUUUCUGUGUCGGAUCGUUCUACCUAUGUUUCUGUUUCGAGCUGGUUUGCUCUUGGCAUUAAAGCCUACUAGUUGGAUUUUGGAUCUGUGUCAUUUCUUCCUGCUCCUGGGUUGUCUCCCCUGACCCGCCGUGACACAAACAAGAAUAUAUCUUUUUUCUUCUUCAAAGUAUGCCAGAAAGAAAAAAAAAACAUACAUUUUUAACUGGUUUCAAAUCACAAAGCCAUUUUUAUUUCCAAAAAACUUACCAAAAAGCGUUUUAGUAACAAAAACAAUCAUUCAAAACAAACAAAUGUUUAUACCAAGAAGCAGGAACAAAAUCUUCUCAUGGCUUUAAAGAAUUUCAAUUGCUCAGACAUUAUUUCAUGAUUAUGACACUGACAAAUUUUGUGAAAGUUCAGUUUAAGUUCUGAUUCUUUAGUUAAAAAUUUUUUUACACCUUUUUAGAAAUAGGGGAAAUCACACAAAAAAAUGCUUUACCCCGGCUCAAUGGUGAACGUAAAUAAUUAUUGAUGUGUAGAGAUAAACUCCUGAAAAAAAUUCUUAUAUCUGGCCUUUCCACUGAUAGAUUCAAUAUUACUUCUAUUAGAAAUAAGGUUAUACAGGCUCCACAAAAGGCAAAGGUAAAUUUUAUAUUGUCUUUUCCCUGUGUUUUUAUUUUUUUUAAUAUUCUGCUUUUAUUAUAAUGCAUAGUUUAUUCUACUUUCCCCUGAUAUUGGUCUAGUAGGCUAUGUGAAAAUGCUGUAUAAAUAAACUUCAAUUCACAGGUAGAGGAUGCAGCGGAUGCACAGUCUCUGAUGCUGUUGGCAGAUGACAUUAGUAACUGCGGAUACACGAGCCAGAUCAAGCCAGAGAAUAAAGAAAACAUUAUUCGUGCUAUUAUCCUGCAUUCUACAACAAGACUCAUCCCUAUGCUGCAGCAGCUAAGAAAGGGCAUGGAGCUGUAUGGUUUGGUGAAUCAAAUGGGGAUGUAUCCUGACGCGUGCCAUGCACUGUUUGUUCCUGGAAACAUCAUUAUGACGGAUGCAGAUUUCAUCAUGAUGAACUGCGAAGCACAAUUUAGUGAAAGGGGAACGUCCAGAGAAAAGCCUGAGAGAAUAAUCCUGACCUUCCUUCAGGAUUUCUGCCAAGAGAUUGAAAUAUCAGGUGAAAGAUUUGACUCAGGGAAGGAACCUGAAGCUCUGGGAAUCCAGGAAGUGCUGCAAUGGCUUACCGGGCAGUCACACGUUCCAAUCCUACCUAACGAAAAAAAAAAAAAUCAAAA